CGGGGUGCAGCAGGCGCGAAACCUCUGCAAUAGGCGAAAGCCUGACAGGGUUACUCUGAGUGACUUUCGUUAAGAGAGUCUUUUGGCACCUCUAAAAAGGGUGUAGAAUAAGGGGUGGGCAAGUCUGGUGUCAGCCGCCGCGGUAAUACCAGCACCCCGAGUGGUCGGGACGAUUAUUGGGCCUAAAGCAUCCGUAGCCGGUUCUGCAAGUCCUCCGUUAAAUCCAACUGCUUAACAGAUGGGCCGCGGAGGAUACUACAGAGCUAGGAGGCAGGAGAGGCAAGCGGUACUCAGUGGGUAGGGGUAAAAUCCGUUGAUCCAUUGAAGACCACCAGUGGCGAAGGCGGCUUGCCAGAAUGCGCUCGACGGUGAGGGAUGAAAGCUGGGGGAGCAAACCGGAUUAGAUACCCGGGUAGUCCCAGCCGUAAACGAUGCAGACUCGGUGAUGGGUUGGCUUCGUGCUAACCCAGUGCCGCAGGGAAGCCGUUAAGUCUGCCGCCUGGGUAGUACGGUCGCAAGACUGAAACUUAAAGGAAUUGGCGGGGG
rnacentral:rRNA from 1 species